rnacentral:rRNA from 1 species
UACGUAGGGGGCAAGCGUUGUCCGGAAUCAUUGGGCGUAAAGAGCGUGUAGGCGGCCAGAUAAGUCCGCUGUGAAAUCUCGAGGCUCAACUUCGAGCUGUCGGUGGAAACUGUCUGGCUAGAGUCCGGAAGAGGAGAAUGGAAUUCCUGGUGUAGCGGUGAAAUGCGCAGAUAUCAGGAAGAACACCCGUGGCGAAGGCGGGACUCUGGGCCGAUACUGACGCUGAGGAGCGAAAGCGUGGGGAGCGAACAGG